rnacentral:rRNA from 1 species
CAGCAGUCGCCACGGUAAUACGUAGGGUGCAAGCGUUAAUCGGAAUUACUGGGCGUAAAGCGUGCGCAGGCGGUUAUAUAAGACAGAUGUGAAAUCCCCGGGCUCAACCUGGGAACUGCAUUUGUGACUGUAUAGCUAGAGUACGGCAGAGGGGGAUGGAAUUCCGCGUGUAGCAGUGAAAUGCGUAGAUAUGCGGAGGAACACCGAUGGCGAAGGCAAUCCCCUGGGCCUGUACUGACGCUCAUGCACGAAAGCGUGGGGAGCAAACAGGAUUAGAUACCCGGGUAGUCCCUGUCUCUUAUAC